GGGGUAAUGAUGGUAACAUGGGUUUCAGUGACAUUAUCAAGUCAGUGAUCUGAUUGGUACGCACAUUGAAGCCC
rnacentral:snoRNA from 1 species